GACAGAGGAGCCAAGCGUUGUCCGGAUUGACUGGGCGUAAAGGGUGCGUAGGCGGUUCGUUAAGUCUGUCGUGAAAUCCCCGGGCUCAACCUGGGAAUGGCGAUGGAUACUGGCGAGCUAGAGUGUGUCAGAGGAUGGUGGAAUUCCCGGUGUAGCGGUGAAAUGCGUAGAGAUCGGGAGGAACAUCAGUGGCGAAGGCGGCCAUCUGGGACAACACUGACGCUGAAGCACGAAAGCGUGGGGAGCAAACAGG
rnacentral:rRNA from 1 species